GGGGGCAUAGCUUAUUUCGGGAGAGCACUGGUCUUGCACAUCAGAGAGAGGGGUUCGAGUCCCCUUGCUUCCA
rnacentral:tRNA from 1 species